AUACGGAGGAUCCGAGCGUUAUCCGGAUUUAUUGGGUUUAAAGGGUGCGUAGGCGGCCUUUUAAGUCAGCGGUGAAAGUCUGUGGCUCAACCAUAGAAUUGCCGUUGAAACUGGGAGGCUUGAGUAUGUUUGAGGCAGGCGGAAUGCGUGGUGUAGCGGUGAAAUGCUUAGAUAUCACGCAGAACCCCGAUUGCGAAGGCACCCGGCCAAGCCAUGACUGACGCUGAUGCACGAAAGCGUGGGGAUCAAACAGGAUUAGAUACCCUGGUAGUCCACGCAGUAAACGAUGAUCACUAGCUGUUUGCGAUACACUGUAAGCGGCACAGCGAAAGCGUUAAGUGAUCCACCUGGGGAGUACGCCGGCAACGGUGAAACUCAAAGGAAUUGACGGGG
rnacentral:rRNA from 1 species